AACAUCGCGCACCUGCGGGAACCUGCGGAGGGAUCAUUACCGAGUUUACAACUCCCAAACCCCUGUGAACAUACCACUUGUUGCCUCGGCGGAUCAGCCCGCUCCCGGUAAAACGGGACGGCCCGCCAGAGGACCCCUAAACUCUGUUUCUAUAUGUAACUUCUGAGUAAAACCAUAAAUAAAUCAAAACUUUCAGCAAUGGAUCU
rnacentral:misc_RNA from 1 species